CGCACCUUGCACUCUUUGGUAUUCCGAAGAGUAUGUCUGUUUGAGUGUCAUGAAACUCUCAACCCCCUCAUUUUGUAAUGAAAAGAGUUGUGGGCUUGGAUUAUGGCUGUCUGUCGGCUUCAUUGCCGGCUCAGCUGAAAUAUACGAGCAACCCAGUUUGAAAAUCUGACGGCUUGACUCGGCGUAAUAAUUAUUAUCGCUGAGGACGUCUAACCUUCAAAGCGUUAGUGGUGCUUCUAAUGCAAAUCAAUUUUAAGAUUUAGACCUCAAAUCAGUCAGGAUUACCCGCUGAACUUAA
rnacentral:misc_RNA from 1 species